GCCGGGCAAGACCGGUGCCAGCCGCCGCGGUAACACCGGCGGCUCGAGUGGUAACCGCUAUUAUUGGGUUUAAAGGGUUUGUAGCCGGCCGGAUAAGUCUUUGGGGAAAUCCUCCUGCUCAACAGGAGGGCGUUUCGAAGAUACUGUUCGGCUAGAGGCCGGGAGAGGUGAGAGGUACUUCAGGGGUAGGGGUGAAAUCUUGUAAUCCUUGAAGGACCACCAGUGGCGAAGGCGUCUCACCAGAACGGACCCGACGGCAAGGGACGAAAGCUAGGGGCACGAACCGGAUUAGAUACCCGGGUAGUCCCAGCCGUAAACGAUACUCGUUAGGUGUCAGCCACGGCGCGACUCAUGGUAGGUGCCGUAGGGAAACCGUGAAACGAGCCACCUGGGAAGUACGGCCGCAAGGCUGAAACUUAAAGGAAUUGGCGGGGGAGCACAAGGGCGAUUCGCGG
rnacentral:rRNA from 1 species